AUUGAACGCUAGCGGGAUGCCUUACACAUGCAAGUCGAACGGAGUGGCGAACGGGUGAGUAAUGUCUCGGAACGUGCCCGGUAGCGGGGGAUAACUACGCGAAAGCGUAGCUAAUACCGCAUACUCUUUGAUCGGUCUAUAUCGGAUUAGCUCGUUGGUGGGGUAACGGCUCACCAAGGCGACGAUCCGUAGCUGGGUUGAGAGGCCGAUCAGCCACACUGGGACUGGGCAACGGCCCAGACUCCUACGGGAGGCAGCAGGGGGGAAUUUUGGACAAUGGGGGAAAGCCUGAUCCAGCCAUCCCGCGUGUGAGAAGAAGGCCUUCGGGUUGUAAAGCACUUUUAGCAGGAAAGCGGUACCUGCAGAAUAAGCACCGGCUAACUACGUGCCAGCAGCCGCGGUAAUAC
rnacentral:rRNA from 1 species